rfam:Bacillus anthracis str. 'Ames Ancestor', complete genome.
CGUUAUCACAGGGGGAGCCAUGCCGCUGAGAGGGAACACUUCGUUCCGACCCUUCGAACCUGUUAGUUAAUGCUAACGCAGGGAUUGUGCAAACGUCCGAAA